UGAAGCUCAAACUCUCCUCGCACACAUCACAUGCAGAUGGAGCAUGUUCAGAUGUCGUCUUUGUUAGCCGAGUGGCUUCUUCCUUUGUGUGGUCAAGCAUGGAGCAGAUGAGCCUUGAAGAGAGAGCUGAAUGCACCAAAUGGGCUCGGAGCCAGCGAUAGAUUGCAGAUGAAAGGGGAGAAAGAAGGGGGAAGAUGUUAAUGAAGCGGAGGGGAAGAGACAAGAGGUCCCUGGGGACUCGGACGCCUCCUGGGACUUGUUUCGCUGUGAGGCCACGCUGGCCCCCACGUCCACAGCUCCACGUGGAGAAGAUGUGUCAGAGGAUGUUCUGGGUCAGCCAUGGGAAGAGAUCACGUCUGAGCAGAUAACAGCUUUCUGCUAAAUUACCACUGAUGCUACUG
ensembl:lncRNA